CCUACGGGUGGCAGCAGUGAGGAAUAUUGGUCAAUGGCCGGAAGGCUGAACCAGCCAUGCCGCGUGAAGGUCAGUGCCCUAUGGGCGUUAAACUUCUUUUGUGCGGGAGCAAUACUGGUCCCGUGUGGCCAGACGAGAGUACCGUACGAAUAAGCAUCGGCUAACUCCGUGCCAGCAGCCGCGGUAAUACGUGGGAUGCAAGCGUUAUCCGGAUUUAUUGGGUUUAAAGGGUGCGUAGGCUGUGAGGUACGGCAGCGGUGAAAUGCCCCCGCUCAACGGGGUGAAGUGCCAUUGAUACUGCCGUGCUGGAAGGCGGAUGCCGUGGGAGGAAUGUGUGGUGUAGCGGUGAAAUGCAUAGAUAUCACACAGAACACCGAUUGCGAAGGCAUCUCACGAAGCCGCGAUUGACGCUGAUGCACGAAAGCGUGGGUAUCAAACAGGAUUAGAUACCCCAGUAGUC
rnacentral:rRNA from 1 species